rnacentral:rRNA from 1 species
GACGAACGCUGGCGGCGUGCUUAACACAUGCAAGUCGAACGGAGCGAAUGAAAGCUUGCUUUUAUAAGCUUAGUGGCAAACGGGUGAGUAACACGUAGACAACCUGCCGACAGGAUGGGGACAACAUUCCGAAAGGAAUGCUAAUACCGAAUGAAGUCAGAGAAGGGCAUCCUUUUCUGAUGAAAGAUGGCCUCUGAAUAUGCUAUCACCUGUCGAUGGGUCUGCGUCUGAUUAGCUGGUUGGUGAGGUAACGGCUCACCAAGGCGACGAUCAGUAGCCGGUCUGAGAGGAUGAACGGCCACAAUUGGGACUGAGACACGGCCCAGACUCCUACGGGAGGCAGCAGUGGGGAAUCUUCCGCAAUGGGCGCAAGCCUGACGGAGC